GGGAAAAUACACUGCCUUUCCAGCCUUUCCUGGCCCAGGGUGGCACCCCUGUCCUUCCUCAGCCAUGCUGCAGGUGGCCUGAGCAACAGGUCCAGGGGAAGCUGGCACUCAUGAGAGAAAGCAGUAUCUUCAAGGACGUGGAAGAGGAUACCAGGGUUUGUCCUCUCUGGACCCACAUCACACUUCAAUCCCCACCGUGGAGCACUGUGAGGGUGUCAGAGGAGGGGCCGUGGGAUGCCAUCAGGGCUAGAUUAAGUCAUCAGGGUGGGGGCUCCAUGAUGGCCCCGAGGCUCUACAGAACACUUGCAAAGGCUCCCUCUCUUUCACCUGUGUGCCCUGUACCUCCUGAGACUGCCAGCAAGGAGGCCACCUCCUGAUGGGCCUUGGAGAGCUGAAUGAGCCUCUUUGCUUUAGGAAUUGAUACAGCCCCAGGUGUUGUUAUAGAACAGACCCUACCCCGGGUUCACAGGAGGGUGAUUCUUGAAUGGCCCUAGUGAGGCAUGUAAGGUGAGAGGUGAGAGACCCUGUUUCCUACCAAGGAAAGGAGAACUUUCCAGCCAGCAGAGCUGCUGUCUCCUGCAGCUACAUGGGCACCAGAUACAAGGGCACUGGAUACAUGGGCACCAGCAGAGCUUCUGUAGUGUGGACAAGGCAAGAGUUCCUAUGUCUGUGAACCCAUUUUCCAAGGAAGAACACGCCGAAUCAGCCCGCUGCAGACAGGCAGGUCUGCCCACGCCUUACCGAGGACCCCAGUCAUCACGCGGAAUACGCCGAAUCAGCCCACUGCACACAGGAAGAUCUGUGCACACCCUACCGAGGUCCUGAGUCUUGAGGAAGACACUGAAUCACCCCGCUGCAGACAGACAGCCACCUGGUUCCGCACUACAAAGACGCAGGGGAACCAGACCACCAGACCAAGGAGUCCCCGGCGUGCAGUAGAGACUUGCUGGGGAAAUGUCAGCGUGGACCAUGGGCACUCGCAGUCUGGACAAGCGAGGAAGUUUCUUUAAGGGAAGAGCCAGAAGUCCCAUGAUGCCAGAUAUGGUGAAUAAGGUGGAUGAAGGUACAGUGCACAUUUUUAUUUGACAGAAGUUGCUGUAAACAUUUGAACAAUGAGGGGUGAUCAUAAAAUAUGUUGAAAGUAUAAAUUUUAAAAUUCAUUAUAGUAAAGGACACAUUGCCAUUAACCCCCCUCAGAAUAUUCAAAGUAUUUCCCCUCGCUCCAAACACACUUAUCCCAUUGUUCUUGGUAAUGUGUCUUUUACUAUAAUAAGUCAUUUUUUUUACCAAGGGCUGAUUAAACCCUCAGCUAUCUUUUGGGGGGAAUGACAAGGAAUAAAAGCAAAAGGCAGAGUCAAUUUUCAAGAUAUAAAGGGGGGACCAGGAGGAGACCUGCCUCUAACAGACAGACUCAAAUAAAACUCCUUGGUUGGCCCACUUUUAUUAGCCAGUGAGAAGUGCAAGGGGGGGGUAGCACGCAUUUCAUGGAACAGCAACAAUAGAGGUGGAUAAGGAUUAAGUUAAUGAGGAACCAGAUUUUCUCUACACCCAAAUGCCUGUAUAUUGACAGCUGUCCUCAGCAGAUGCUGUCCUGCCUCAGGAGUGCUGGGUUAUCAGCAUUCCAUUCAUAGCCAGGGGGCAUUUGGCCGUCUACCUAUUUCCCUGUUCCCAAGGCAAGAUAACAACCUCAAGACUGUGAGAUCUAAGUUAUGUAGCCUAGUACCCAACAUUUUUUAAUUUAAGCAUUUUCAGGAUCUUUUGGUCAUCUGGGUUGGAUCCAACUGAUCAUCAUGUCAGCAUGUCAUGAAUAUAAAAAAAUUAUUAAUCAGUUAUUUUACAUUAAUUUUGACACCAUGUCUUUUUUUAAUUGACAAAAAGUAUAUAUCAUGUACAGCAUGUUUUCAAAUGUGCGUUGUUCCAUGUCUUGACAGUCCCAUUAGUUGAGUGUGAUGGAAGAGGCUUGUGAUCCCAGAACUUGGGAGGCUGAGGCAGGAGGAUCACCAGGAGUUCAAGGCCAGCCUGGGCUACAUAGUGAGACCAUGUCUCAAAAAAACAGAGAGAGAGAGAGAGAGGGGAAAAGAAAGUCCCAGGACUAUUUGAGACUCAGUGAGUCUCAGCUCUGACCAGCAAUAGCUGCACGUGGCCAGUGGCCACCAUGCUGGGCAGCGAAGCCUUAGUGUUUAUCUGGUCUACACUCCCUCCUUACACAGAUGGGGAAACUGAGAUCAGGGCUCCUUAGUGUACAGCAGGGAUAUUGUCAGCCUUGGCCUGUGUCCUUGGCACUCCCACCCAGCCAUCCUCUGACUGUUUGCCACCCUUUCCCACUCACUGUCUUAGGAGCCAUCUGGAGAGGUUGAGGGGACAGUGGCCUCCCCUUCCUUGCAUCCCACAGGUCCCUCUCACCAGCUGCUCCCAGCACCUGUAGGUGCCAGGUCAGCCCCUCGGGCCUGACUUUCCAACCAGGCUGUGAGCUUAGGAGACACAGAUUCCUGGCAGUGUUCCCAGAAAGCAGCAGACUGCACGGUUUUAUGGGACAGUGUCUUGUACAUAUGGUGGCUGCCAAUUCCCCACUGGCCAUGUCCCAUGCUCAUUGGCGCCAGAGGAUUUUUUCUUUUGUUUAUUUUUAAAAUCAAGAGUUCUGCUCAACCACAUAUUUCUCGAGGCCUCCUUGUUUCAUAAAUUGGAGAGAGACAGAGUUUUGAAGAAAAUUUUGUUAACAUACAAUUUUCAAAAAGUUAAAACGUGACUCUUGUAGGACAUAAAUGAGCAUCCAUGAGAACUCCAUUCAUCUCACACAGGAGGAAACUAGUAAGAUUGGUAAAGCUCAUCCAAAGAACAUGUUUACAAAGCACAUAUUUUUAUGCAGUGUAGAAAGGCAUUGUGAGAUAAGUUUGCCAAGUCAAAAAUCUGAUUAAAUCUUAAGAGACAGUAAAAUUGUAACCUUCAGGGUUAUCUCUUUUAUUCUGAACUGAAAUCUUCAGCAUGAGCUAGAACCUGGUAGUGUCUGAGUCCUUCAUUAACAGCACAUGGCAAAGCCAGACACAGUACAGUCUGCUAGGCAAUGAAGUAAUCUUUAUGUCAAUUUAAACAAUGCUCCAGUGUGACAUUGAAAAGCUGAACUCAAAAACAAAAGGGCAAUACAGUGGUGCGGUGCACACCUAUAAUCCCAGCACUGUGGGAAGCUGGUACAGGAGGAUCCCAUGUUUGAGACCUGCCUCAACAACUUAGCAAGACCCUGUCUCAAAAUAAAAAAAAAUAAAAGGGCUUAGGCUAUAGCUCAGUUGGAAGAGAACCCCAGCAUCCCUAAAAUUGAUCCCUAGCACAACAACAACAAUAGCCCUCUGCCUUGAAAUGUGAAAAUCUAAAAUCUACUAAACAAUUCUGAGGCAAGUGCAGAAAUAUAAACUGGCAUUAUACAUUGUCUAAAAUAAGACGAUCAAAAUACUGCCCAUCAGAACAAAUUCUGUAUACUUAAAGCAGCAAUCAGAGGAAAAUUCAUAGCAAUAAAUAUUUUUAAUCAGAAAAGAUGUCCUUUACCUUUUUUGCCUUACUCUCAAGUUUUAAGUUGUUGUUGUUUCAAUACUGUGGAAUGAAUCCAGGGCCUAGCACUGACCUGUAUGCCCAGUCCUUUUUAUUUUUUAUUUUGAAACAGGGUAUCACUAAGUUGUCCAUACUUCUCUCCUUGAGCUCCUCCUGACCAAGCCUCCCAAGUACCUGGGAUUACAGGCAUGCACCACUGUGGCUAGUUUCAAUAAUGUUUCAUUGAUGUUUCUUAAUAAUUAACACUGAAAUUAUUUAUUCCCAAGCACUUCUGUAAUCUCUGUCUUGGUCACUUUCCUCAUCCCUAAAACACAAUACCCGACACCUGCAACUUAAAGGAAGAGAGGUUAUUUUGGCUCAUGGUUUCAGAAGUUUCAGUCCAUGGUCAGCUGGCUCAAAUGCAGAAGUGGUAUGGUGGAAGGGCCUGCUGUGGAGGAAAAGUGCUUGCAUCAUAAUGGCCAGGAAGCAGGGAGGGAAGGGAGGAGGAGCCAGGGAGGGAGAUGCACACCCCAGUAACCACCUCUUCUGACCAGGCCCCACCUCCAUCCAGCAGCACACUUAUCUCUGAACUCAUCUGUGGAUUAAUCCACAUUUACACAAUCAAGAAUUCUGCUUUACAAGAGCAAAUGCCUUCAAUGCAGUGGGCAACCUAGGAGAGCUACUUCUAAACUGGAUGAUUAAGUUCCAGGGUCCUUGGCAUCUCUUCAGUAUGUAAAAUCCUCACCACGGUUUUCUGCAUGUGCUGUGGUCCCUGAGCUCAGAUGCCACAAGCUAGCAGGACCCUCACACAUGCGGCUGUCACCAUGGGUCUACCGGUCCAGGUGAAUUGGAUAGAGGCUGAUUUUCCAGCGUAGCCAUUAUUCAGAUGUCUUUAUGUGGUAAAGCACAAAAUCAUGUGCACAGCACUGUCUGAAGCUGUGAGAUGUGUUGUUACAAAACUUGUUACCCCGAAGCACAGUGACUUCAAAUAGCAUUUAUACCACAUAGUUUCUGAGGGUCAGAAGGCUGAAUGUAGCUUAGCUAAGAACUCAAGUCCAAGGUCUCCGUGGCUUUGGGCUGGGCCAUCACUUAAGGCUGCAGUUUCAGCCAAACUCUCAGCCAUGGGGAAUCUGCUCACAAACUUCUCUGGCACAUCUCAGGCAGCUGCCACGUGGUCCUUCCCACAGGGCUGGCCAUGGGACAUGGCAGCUGGCUUCCUCCAGGGCAAAUGACAUAGAAGAGAGUCAGAGAGACAGAAGCCACCACCUUUAGAUCCUAAUCUUGAUGCAAGAGACCUUCACUUCUGCCCUGGUCUGUCCAUUAGGAACUGAUCAGUAUCCGGCUUUCUCCAAAAGAGAUGAUGCAGGGUGUGGAGACCAGGACAUGAUGGGUGCUGGGGCCACCUUUGAGACCAUGCAUGGGAUAAUAGCAUGGUCACAAGGUCAGGAACCUGCAGGCCCACGCAGGGCUGGCGUUAGUGAAAAGGACGAGGGGGGUUGGCUGGCGUUGGGCCGGUGGGCUGGUGGGGUGCAGUGAGCUGCGGUGUCUACAGGAGGGGCAGUAGCAGUGUCCUUCCAUAAUUGCUGUCAUCUGGGGUGAAUAUAGGCUGCCGGCUUGCUCCAGAGAGGUUAGAAAUCCAGAUUUUUGUGUUUAAAUACUGUGAGGACCAAAAAAAGGAAAAGCCACACUUUUGAAGGCCAUCUCUGGCACAUGGGCAGUGGGGUAAAACUCCGGAUGGUUCCUCCCUCAAGCCCCAGCUCUUAAGGCGCUCCCAAUAACGCACACCAGGGAUUGAGCCAUGACCACAGGGCCCUUUGGGGACACUUCAUACCCUGACUGUGGCUGUCCACUUCCAGGAAGGGUAGGGGGAAGGACAGGAGGCCACAGCCCAGCUUCUGUUCCUCUUAAAAUGGAACUGCUCAGCACAGCAGACUGUGAGGUCCAAGCUGGAGCUCAGGAGUUGCAGCCACUCCCAGGGGACAAAACAGCAUUUAUGGCGACUGAGGGAGGGGGAGGGGAGAGCUGGGGUUUCCCUGGGUCCAGGGUCAUCAAAGGGCAUGGGCACAUACCAGGGUUCUGCAGUGGCUUUCACCUGGGUCCCAGUGGACCAACAUCAAGGGGGACCUGGUCCUCCCUCUCCCUGACCUAAAACAUGGGCGGCCAACAUCUCUCCAUUCUGUAAUGCUGGCCAGGAUUCAUCUGGGUAGGCUUUCUAAAGCUUGUUCGUGUUGUUUAUUCUUUUUAAAAAUAUUUAUUUUUAAUUGACAAAUACAAAUUACACAUAUUUAUGGGCACAACAUUUUUCCUUGGUUAAGGAAACACUUGACAUGUACUCUCAACUGUUUUCAAGAAUAUAAUACAUUGUUAUUAACUUUAGUUACCACGUUGUAAAUAGAGCUCUUGGAUUUAUUCCUCCUCUCAAACUGAAAUUUUGUAUCCUUUGACCAGUAGCUCCCUGAGUAUAGCUUCUCUUCUACUCUCUUUCUGAGUUCAGCUUUUAAGGAAGGUCAUAUGGUAUUAUUUGUCUUUUGGGCUUGGCUUAUGUCACCUAAUAUAACUUCCUUUGGGUUUGUUCAUGUCGCAAAUGACAGGAUUUUCUUCUUUUUUAACACGUUCUUGUCGUCUUGAACCACCGUGGUGCUUGCAUGACUGUCCCAUCAGGCAGCUUGUAUCAUCCAAUGAGACUGUCCCAUGCCACCCAGUGGGACAGUCAGGCAUCUACCACAGUGAUUCAAAGCCUCCAGCAGUGAGACAUACGAAUUACAUCCCCGUCGUGAAUGUGUUAAGGCAGAGUGGUAUUCCACAAUGUACAACACCAUGUUUGCUUUGUCUUCAUCUGUUGUGAACACUCUAACAAGUGUGAGGUGCUAUUUUGUUGUAGCUUUAGUUUGAAGAUUCCUUUUGACUUAGUAAGUCACACUCCGUGGUAGCAUUUGUCGUUCAUAACUUAGUCUAAACCAGUGCUUCUGAGCACUUGGCUGAGGUGAGUCUAGAGGAGAAAUGCAAGUUUGUGUGUUGAGGGGGAGAUAGAAAAGGGUAAAUUGGUGUCUCUAGGAGGUGAGUCAGGGCUUGGGGCCUCCCGCUGGAUGUGUGGGGUGGCCAGACCUGGUCACCUAUAAUGGAGGGGGAGCAGUGGGCAGGGGCUGGGCAGUAGAGCUCAUCCUCUGCCCCUCUCCACAUACCCCACCCUGAACCUCAGGGUUGUGUGGCUCCUGCUGAGCCUCAUCUUCCUUUCCCACACAGGCAGGUGAGCUGAGGCUAAGAUGGGAGACAACCCAGGCUAUGCCACUGCUGUUACCCACUACUAUGUCACUCUGAGCAAUCAACUCAGCAAGUGUCGGUUUCCCCAUCUGAAAAUUGAAGAUAAAUAUUGCUCCCUCCCUUCUAUGGCAGCUUUGAUUAAAACUCAACAAUAUCUCACCCAAAAAGGACGUAGCUAGUACUUGUGCAUAGUGGCGACUCCAUGAACACCCUCUCUGAGGACAGCAGGGUCCCCAAGCCCCUCAUCUCUGUGCAGCACAUGUCACCUGCAGAGGCUGCAGCCCCACUGUGUGUAGGCGCUCACUCCAGGGUCUCAGGCUGCUCUACGUGGAGCAGAACCCCCUUUCAGACAGGCAUGUGACCCUCAUCUGGGGGUGACAGAAUGCAGUGCCACCCCCCCGACACAUACACUUUCACCUCUUCUAUCAAAUGAGGAGGUGUCAAAGACGUUCCUAUCUGCAAAUUUCUUAUGUGACUUCACUGCUUGUGGGUUCCCAGGCUGUCACAGCCCCCCUGGAAUAGAACCUUUGGGGUGGGGCAUGACUGCAUGGCACUGACCCAGCCCAGAGGAUCCUGGUCCUCAGAGAGGCAGGAAUCGUGGGCAGAUCUGGCAGGUCCCUUCCAGGUGACCUUCCCACAUCUGUCCCCGCAAGGAGGUAACUACUCUUGAGAUGCAUCCCCAGUGGUUCUCAAAUCAGGUCCCCUAGGUACCUGCUGGGCAUCUGCUGGAGGUGCUGUUCUGUCAUCCCAGGCCUGAAGGGCAGAGCUGGGGAUGGGGCCCAGCACCUCAAGCAAUUCUGAGGCUCACUGGGUGUCCCAGCUGCUGAUGCCACCCUGCAUUUAAAUGCAUGACUAAGACCCCGCACAGAGCCUAGACUGCUUCCGCUGGAGACCUGGCUUCAUGUUGCCCUUGGGAAACAGAGUGACGCCACUUUACCAGUAGGGUCGCCAAGACCCACUGGUUCACACAUGGCACUCGGUGAUCUCUGCCAGUCCCUGGCUCUUAGAGGCCUUGGUGCUGUGUGCACCACCGUCUAAUGGCACCUCUGUUCCUGUCCCCUGAUGCCCCAUACUUGAUUUGCUCUCACAGAAGCUUCACACAUAGGUGGAUGGGGAUCUUCAGGGUCAGGGUGGCUCAGCUGUCCCUGACUUGGCAACCCACAGAGGCCAGCACGUCCCAGAUACCUUGUCUCCCAUCUCCAGAGGCUGUGGACUCGCAGGGCUGAGAGACUGGGUGGGGCCCCCACUCUCCCGCUGAAGCCUGAGGUGAACACAGACACUAGUGCGGGCACACACUGCUGCUGGGCAUGGGGUGAAGGAACAAACAAGCAUCAGCAUCUUGGCUAAUCCCUCAGUGUGUCUUGGUGAAAUCUACCAUGUGAGUGCCAUGCCAGGUGUGUGGCCCAGGUCCCUCCUUGUCCAACUGGGUUUCUUUGUUUAAAAAAAUUAUUGUACAUGUUUGUGAUCCACGAUGAAUGUGUUGUGGGAGUUGGUGCACGUAGGUAUCUUAAUCCUCUUUACUUCUUCUUUCCCUCUCUGCUCCCUCCGUUUCUUGGCCCCUUUCCCAUUUGUAAAAUGACUAUUUCCCUGUACCCUAUCAUCUGUCCUUCAGUUUUUUAAAUUAUUUAUACUUCGUUUUUCUAAUAUGAGAGAAACUAUGUGAUAUUUAAGCUUGUG
ensembl:lncRNA